rnacentral:rRNA from 1 species
GCGUGCUUAACACAUGCAAGUCGAGCGAUGAAGUUUCCUUCGGGAAACGGAUUAGCGGCGGACGGGUGAGUAACACGUGGGUAACCUGCCUCAUAGAGUGGAAUAGCCUUCCGAAAGGAAGAUUAAUACCGCAUAACGUUGAAAGAUGGCAUCAUCAUUUAACCAAAGGAGCAAUCCGCUAUGAGAUGGACCCGCGGCGCAUUAGCUAGUUGGUGGGGUAACGGCCUACCAAGGCGACGAUGCGUAGCCGACCUGAGAGGGUGAUCGGCCACAUUGGGACUGAGACACGGCCCAGACUCCUACGGGAGGCAGCAGUGGGGAAUAUUGCACAAUGGGGGAAACCCUGAUGCAGCAACGCCGCGUGAGUGAUGAAGGUUUUCGGAUCGUAAAGCUCUGUCUUUGGGGAAGAUAAUGACGGUACCCAAGGAGGAAGCCACGGCUAACUACGUGCCAGCAGCCGCGGUAAUACGUAGGUGGCGAGCGUUAUCCGGAUUUACUGGGCGUAAAGGGAGCGUAGGCGGAUGAUUAAGUGGGAUGUGAAAUACCCGGGCUCAACUUGGGUGCUGCAUUCCAAACUGGUUAUCUAGAGUGCAGGAGAGGAGAGUGGAAUUCCUAGUGUAGCGGUGAAAUGCGUAGAGAUUAGGAAGAACACCAGUGGCGAAGGCGACUCUCUGGACUGUAACUGACGCUGAGGCUCGAAAGCGUGGGGAGCAAACAGGAUUAGAUACCCCGGUAGUCCACGCCGUAAACGAUGAAUACUAGGUGUGGGGGUUUCAACACCUCCGUGCCGCCGCUAACGCAUUAAGUAUUCCGCCUGGGGAGUACGGUCGCAAGAUUAAAACUCAAAGGAAUUGACGGGGACCCGCACAAGUAGCGGAGCAUGUGGUUUAAUUCGAAGCAACGCGAAGAACCUUACCUACACUUGACAUCCCUUGCAUUACUCUUAAUCGAGGAAAUCCCUUCGGGGACAAGGUGACAGGUGGUACAUGGUUGUCGUCAGCUCGUGUCGUGAGAUGUUGGGUUAAGUCCCGCAACGAGCGCAACCCUUGUCGUUAGUUACUACCAUUAAGUUGAGGACUCUAGCGAGACUGCCUGGGUUAACCAGGAGGAAGGUGGGGAUGACGUCAAAUCAUCAUGCCCCUUAUGUGUAGGGCUACACACGUGCUACAAUGGCUGGUACAGAGAGAUGCAAUACCGUGAGGUGGAGCCAAACUUUAAAACCAGUCUCAGUUCGGAUUGUAGGCUGAAACUCGCCUACAUGAAGCUGGAGUUACUAGUAAUCGCGAAUCAGAAUGUCGCGGUGAAUACGUUCCCGGGUCUUGUACACACCGCCCGUCACACCAUGAGAGUUGGCAAUACCCGAAGUCCGUGAGCUAACCGCAAGGAGGCAGCGGCCGAAGGUAGGGUCAGCGAUUGGGGUG